CCACGUGCUGUGUCAGCUGAGAGACACUCCCAUGCCACCUGCCUUGCUAUUACAAUAUUAGACCACUAAAGUUCCAUUCUAGUGAUCUUUUCUUACCUUCAUCUAGUUGUGCAGCUGACCUGGUAACAGGAUGAAAGAAGCAGCAAGCAGCAGUGACACCCCAGGAAUUAGCCCGCCGCCACCAGCUGCUUGACAGCUGAAGCAGUAGCACCUGCAAUGUUAGGAGUGGCCAGCGGGGUGGAGUGGGGGUAGUGAGAGAGAAAGGUUGAGAAUGAAGAAGGAAAGGUUGUCAAUAGCCACAGGAAGUGCCAGCUCUGGUCACCAGAAGAGUUCCACAGCAUUAUCAAGCCUUCAGGGCCAACAGGUGAAACACUGGGUGCUGUGAAAGGCUGAGGGGACACCACGCCCUCAGCCCACGUAGAGCUGUAGAACUCAAGUGGUCUAAAGGUUCCUAAAAUCUGAGGCCUACAAGGAGCCUGAGCCUGGAAGGUGCCACCCACUGUGCCUCCCACCCCCUGCUGCCCAGGCUUCUCCUCAGCUACUUAAAAUUCCCAUACAGUGCAGUGCAGAAGGACCCUCUAGCCAGCUAGUCAAAGGUGGUAUAGGUGAUCCUCCAGCAACAAUCCUGUAUGUCAAAGCUGGGCUUCUUCAUACUCUACUAACCAAAACUAGCGUCAAAUGCAAGGAGACAAACCCAGAAGAUAAAGGAGCUUUCAUAUCAACCAGAUUGUCUACCAUUGAGAUCCUAACAGAUACAAGAUGAUCCGCAAGAUGAUCCGCUGGUCUCUGCUUAUGUCUUGCAGAUGUUCACUGGAAUCUUACUGAACGCCUUAGACCAGAGGUUCUCAACAUGUGGGUCAUGAUCCACUCCAGGGUCACCUAAGCCACUGGAAAACAUGAGUCACAAGAAUACCAAAAUUACAGUUAUGAAGUAGCAACAAAAGUAAUUUUAUGGUUUGGGGGUCACCACAACACGAGGAGCUGCAUUAAAGGGCAGCAGCAUUGGGAAGGCUGAGAACCAUUGCCUUAGACUAAGACUGACACUUGCCUGGCUGAAUCUUUACAAGGGCCAGAAAGGUUUUGUUGGGUAGCAAUCUCCUCUGAGAUAAAACCUUCCAACUUUGAGGGAAGCUCCUUAAGACACCGGGGGAGCAUUCUGUCCUUCAGGGAAGCGACUUUAACUCAGAAAACAGUAACAACAGUAACUGCAGGAAGUCCCUGAAAUCCACCAGAUUCACCAGGCUCCUCUCCCCCCUGAGGACCUCUAAGAAAUAAGUUCUAUAGAGAAAAGUUCUCAGGCCAGUGGAGCUGCUUGGAAGACAUGUCUCCACCGCUGCCUGCAAGGUGGCGCUCCAGUGGCUUCUCGUCACGUUCCUGGAGUCGGGCCAAUUGACAGAGCAUCAUGGAUUGGUCCAGACUGAGCUGCUAUUGCUGAUUCGAGAUUGGUGUUUGAGAGUGGAUAGAGUGACCACUGCUGAUUUGUGUGACAUGAACUGCUGAUAUCCUCCUUUGUUUAAAAAAAUUAUUUUCUGUAGAUGAGUACACUGUAGCUGUACAGAUGCUUAUGAGCCUUCAUGUGGUGGUUGGGAAUUGAAUGUUAGUUGACCUCGCUCCGGUCAACUCUGCUCACUCAGGCCCAAAGAUGUAUUUAUUAUUAUAUAUAAGUACACUGUAGCUGUCUUCAGACGCACAAAAAGAGGGCAUCAGAUCUCAUUACAGAUUGUUGCUGGGAUUUGAACUCAGGACGUUUGAAAGAGCAUUCAGUGCUCUUACCCACUGAGCCAUCUCGCCAGCCCUGCUGAUAUAUUCCUGACAACACAGAUUGGAUUCAUCCCCAAAGAACGACUUCUAAGGACAAGUAACGAGAUGUUCCAGUCCCAGAAGCUCUUUACAACAAGCACCGUGGUCAUGAAAACUGAACUAUUUGCUUUUGUCCCAGGGACCCCCCAAUGCUGCUUGCUCACAAGGAUACUGCUCCCUGUUACUGUCUGUGAUAAACACCGUGACCAAAAGCAGCAGCUUGGUGGUGAUUUGAAUGGCAAUGGCCUCCAAAGGCUCAUAUGUUGGAAUACUUGAUGGAACUGUUUGGGAAGGAUUAGGAGCUGUGGCCUUGUUGGAAAAGGUGUGUCACUGGGGUCCACCUUUGAGGUUUUCUUCAGAAGAAUCGUCCAAGUCCUGGGAGGUCUGAAAUUGAUCCUGGUGCCAGGAAUCUGGUUCCCAAACAGGACACUAUUGCUGUCACACCAGAAGAAAUCAUCGGAUCCUGUUACACAUGGUUGUGAACCACCAUAUGGUCUUGUGAGUGCCUGACUCGCCAGCAAAGCAGACGCCACACCAGGAUCCUUCUGCACACGUUUAUUGGAAGAGCUUGAUUGCAGAGGCGAAAAGACCCCAAGCCCAGAACUGGUGCUGCUUAUAUAGGCCUAGGAGAGGCGUGUCUCAUACCCGGAUUGGUUAUGCUUUCUACCUCAUUUGCAUGUUCCUCAUCUGAUUGGUUAUUUUCUCUCAGUACCUCACUGAGCCUCAUUAUACCUCAUUUGCAUGUCUCUCAUCUGAUUGGUUAUUCUCUCUCAGUACCUCACUGAGCCUCAUUAUCAUGCCCAGGCCAGGCAGUGACUUGAUGAAAAACUUUACUGCAUAUGUACACAUUG
rnacentral:lncRNA from 1 species